rnacentral:rRNA from 1 species
UGGGGAAUAUUGGACAAUGGGGGCAACCCUGAUCCAGCAAUGCCGCGUGUGUGAAGAAGGCCUUCGGGUUGUAAAGCACUUUUAUCCGGAACGAAACGUGUCGGGUUAACAACCCGGCAAACUGACGGUACCGGAGGAAUAAGCACCGGCUAACUUCGUGCCAGCAGCCGCGGUAAUACGAAGGGUGCAAGCGUUACUCGGAAUUACUGGGCGUAAAGGGUGCGUAGGUGGUUUGUUAAGUCUGCUGUGAAAUCCCCGGGCUCAACCUGGGAAUGGCAGUGGAUACUGGCAAGCUGGAGUGCGGUAGAGGGUAGUGGAAUUCCCGGUGUAGCAGUGAAAUGCGUAGAGAUCGGGAGGAACACCAGUGGCGAAGGCGGCUACCUGGACCAGCACUGACACU